UGUUCCCUACGGGGCGCAGCAGUGGGGGAUAUUGGACAAUGGGGGGAACCCUGAUCCAGCGACGCCGCGUGAGUGAAGAAGUAUCUCGGUAUGUAAAGCUCUAUCAGCAGGGAAGAAAGAAAUGACGGUACCUGAGUAAGAAGCCCCGGCUAACUACGUGCCAGCCGCCGCGGUAAUACGUAGGGGGCAAGCGUUAUCCGGAAUUACUGGGUGUAAAGGGAGCGUAGACGGUGAAGUAAGUCUGGAGUGAAUGGCGUGGGCCCAACCCCCGGACUGCUCUGGACACUAUUUGACCGGAGU
rnacentral:rRNA from 1 species